UGACCUCUUUGAAGGGGUGUUGAGCCCUCUUUGGGGGCCCUGGGCCUCUCCUACCCUAAACUCUUCUCCACGGGCUCGCCGGGCCUCCCCUCUCCCCCGAGGCUUCCCACUCGGGGUGGCCCCUUGCUCCGGGUGUGCAGGUGAACCCCCACUUCUCUGACCCCCAAAUAGGAGCUUGUCUCCGGACAGUAGCACAGUUCCCGGCACAGAGGAGACCUCGGCUAACAGGUGUUGGAUGAAUGGAUGUACAGACCCUGUGCUUUCCCCACGCCCCCCAACUUAGGACGCAGCCCUGCCUCCCGGGUGUGUGCUCGAUGGCCCUGCAGCCCUCCUCAGUGGGGCACGCAGGUGGGGCGCGCAAGAGGAGUCACAGGCCGGCAAUGUUGGGAAGACUCCUAGGAUCCGAUUGAUAGACACCAACCGGGUGCUGCAGGUUGUGAAAUGGCCCCUUCCUGCCCAGAGCUGCCCAAUGAGGUUCUCAUGGGAAAAUGCAUUCAGACUCCCCGGAACAGUUGACUUGGAGCCUCUGUCUUUGCUCUCUCUGCCUUGAGCCCUGGAACCUCUCCUCCUUUCGUCCCUUCAUUCCUAAAACACUGGAGAUUUUGAUUCGCUUUCCAAGGACAAUGUCUUCGAGAAUAACCGUUUGGCCUUUGAAGUGGCUGAGAAGGAGCUGGGGAUCCCCGCUCUCCUGGACCCCAAUGACAUGGUCUCCAUGAGCGUCCCUGACUGCCUCAGCAUCAUGACCUAUGUGUCCCAGUAUUACAACCACUUCUGCAGUCCUGGCCAAGGUGUCGGCGGUGCUCCAGCACCCUGCUCCCUGGGGCUUAUGAGAAUGGGCCUGAGGAGGGCACCU
rnacentral:lncRNA from 10 species